CUACGGGCGGCAGCAGUGAGGAAUUUUGCGCAAUGGGGGAAACCCUGACGCAGCAACGCCGCGUGAGUGAAGAAGGCCUUUGGGUCGUAAAGCUCUGUCAACUGGGAAGAAGUUAGAAUCUAUUAAUGGUAGAUUUUAUUGACGGUACCAGUGGAGGAAGCGCCGGCUAACUCCGUGCCAGCAGCCGCGGUAACACGGGGGGCGCAAGCGUUAUUCGGAAUUAUUGGGCGUAAAGGGCGCGCAGGCGGUCUUGUCAGUCAGGUGUGAAAGCCCGGGGCUCAACCCUGGAAGUGCACUUGAAACAGCAAGACUUGAGUACGGGAGAGGAGAGAGGAAUUCCUGGUGUAGAGGUGAAAUUCGUAGAUAUCAGGAGGAACACCGAUGGCGAAGGCAUCUCUCUGGACCGAUACUGACGCUGAGGCGCGAAGGCGUGGGUAGCGAACGGGAUUAGAUACCCCGGUAGUC
rnacentral:rRNA from 1 species